AUGGAAUUGAACGCUAAGAAAUGCAAUGAAAAGGUAGUAGAUUUUAGAAAGAUUAAGACUGUAAUCCCUCCUGUCUGCAUUGGGCAACAACCUAUGUCUGGAGUGAAAACGUACAAGUUAUUGGGACUCUGGAUAGACGAUGAUCUAAAUUUGCAAUCUAAUACAGAGUACAUUAUUAAGAAAGCAACCAAACGUCUAUAUUUUUUUAAGGUUCUUAAGGGUUAUGGCGCACCAAAAUAUGACCUCAAGACCUUUUAUUGCUGUGUUAUCAGAUCAACCUUGGAGUAUGGUGCCCAGGUAUCGGGAACGGCAACUUGACGCAAGCACAUGCAGCGUAAUGAUAUUGAAAGAGUACAGAAACGAGCUUUGAGGAUAAUUGUUCCUGAAUAUGAGUAUAAUCGUGCGCUUCAAGAAUGUGAACUAAAAACGUUACAGGAACGUAGAGAUGAUUUAUGUGUUCGUCUCAUCAAGCAGAUGUCAGAGCCAUCACAUAAAUUACAUUCAUUGCUUCCUAGGAAAUGCUCUGAGCUAAAAGGAAGAGAAACUAGAACAAAUCCGGACAAAUUUUACAACUUCUUCUGCAGAACUGAAAGAUUUAAAUGCAGUCCGUUAGUAUAUGCAAUAGAUAAAUAUAACGAUAGGCUAAAACUGUAGUUUUUAAAUUGAGAAUUAAUAUGAUGCUAACAAGAAAUUAUGUUGUCAGGUGGGCAGAUUGUGUUUGGAAUAUAAGAGCACAGGCGGCCCAAUCUCGCAAGGG